rnacentral:tRNA from 1 species
UGGCUCAGUUGGUAGAGCAUGGCACUUGCAAUGCCAAGGAUUGUGGCUUUGAUUCCCGC